UACGUAGGGUGCAAGCGUUAAUCGGAAUUACUGGGCGUAAAGCGUGCGCAGGCGGUUUUGUAAGUCUGUUGUGAAAUCCCCGGGCUCAACCUGGGAAUGGCAAUGGAGACUGCAAGGCUAGAGUUUGGCAGAGGGGGGUAGAAUUCCACGUGUAGCAGUGAAAUGCGUAGAUAUGUGGAGGGACACCGAUGGCGAAGGCAGCCCCCUGGGUCAAAACUGA
rnacentral:rRNA from 1 species